AUGGUUGAGAUUUGGAGUCAAUGGUCAACAUUUGGGUCAUCGAUUGAGACUUUGGGUCAACAGCUGAGACUCAAGGCCCCGGGGGAGUCCCUGCGGCUCCUCUGCCGCGCCUCCGGCUUCACCUUCAGCAACUACUGGAUGUUCUGGGUGCGCCAGAGCCCCGGGAAGGGGCUGGAAUAUGUUGCUGGCAUCAACACUGGUGGUGGCACCGGCUACGCGCCGUCGGUGCAGGGCCGGUUCACGAUCUCCCGGGACAACGGGCAGAGCUCGGUGACGCUGCAGAUGAACGACCUCAAGGAGGAGGAUUCUGCCACCUAUUUCUGCACCAAAGGUGCUGGUGCUGGUGGUUUUACUGGUGGUAUCGAUGCCCUUGGCGGGGUCCCCACCUGUCCCCAAACCCCAGACCCUCCCCCCAAACCUCCACCCUUUGGACUUGAAUCACAACAAUUGACCCAAAUCUCAGCCAUCGGCCCAAAUAUCAACCACUGA